rnacentral:tRNA from 1 species
UUCUGUGGCUUAAUUGGUUAAAGCGCCAGGCUAGCGAGUACGGAGGCGUGGGAUCGAAUCACACCAGAA